rnacentral:rRNA from 1 species
GACGAACGCUCUCGGCGUGCUUAACACAUGCAAGUCGAACGGAAAGGCCCUGCUUUUGUGGGGUGCUCGAGUGGCGAACGGGUGAGUAACACGUGAGUAACCUGCCCUUGACUUUGGGAUAACUUCAGGAAACUGGGGCUAAUACCGGAUAGGAGCUCCUGCUGCAUGGUGGGGGUUGGAAAGUUUCGGCGGUUGGGGAUGGACUCGCGGCUUAUCAGCUUGUUGGUGGGGUAGUGGCUUACCAAGGCUUUGACGGGUAGCCGGCCUGAGAGGGUGACCGGCCACAUUGGGACUGAGAUACGGCCCAGACUCCUACGGGAGGCAGCAGUGGGGAAUAUUGCACAAUGGGCGGAAGCCUGAUGCAGCAACGCCGCGUGCGGGAUGACGGCCUUCGGGUUGUAAACCGCUUUCGCCUGUGACGAAGCGUGAGUGACGGUAAUGGGUAAAGAAGCACCGGCUAACUACGUGCCAGCAGCCGCGGUGAUACGUAGGGUGCGAGCGUUGUCCGGAUUUAUUGGGCGUAAAGGGCUCGUAGGUGGUUGAUCGCGUCGGAAGUGUAAUCUUGGGGCUUAACCCUGAGCGUGCUUUCGAUACGGGUUGACUUGAGGAAGGUAGGGGAGAAUGGAAUUCCUGGUGGAGCGGUGGAAUGCGCAGAUAUCAGGAGGAACACCAGUGGCGAAGGCGGUUCUCUGGGCCUUUCCUGACGCUGAGGAGCGAAAGCGUGGGGAGCGAACAGGCUUAGAUACCCUGGUAGUCCACGCUGUAAACGGUGGGUACUAGGUGUGGGGUCCAUUCCACGGGUUCCGUGCCGUAGCUAACGCUUUAAGUACCCCGCCUGGGGAGUACGGCCGCAAGGCUAAAACUCAAAGGAAUUGACGGGGCCCCGCACAAGCGGCGGAGCAUGCGGAUUAAUUCGAUGCAACGCGUAGAACCUUACCUGGGUUUGACAUGGAUCGGGAGUGCUCAGAGAUGGGUGUGCCUCUUUUGGGGUCGGUUCACAGGUGGUGCAUGGCUGUCGUCAGCUCGUGUCGUGAGAUGUUGGGUUAAGUCCCGCAACGAGCGCAACCCUUGUUCACUGUUGCCAGCACGUUAUGGUGGGGACUCAGUGGAGACCGCCGGGGUCAACUCGGAGGAAGGUGGGGAUGACGUCAAGUCAUCAUGCCCCUUAUGUCCAGGGCUUCACGCAUGCUACAAUGGCUGGUACAGAGAGUGGCGAGCCUGUGAGGGUGAGCGAAUCUCGGAAAGCCGGUCUCAGUUCGGAUUGGGGUCUGCAACUCGACCUCAUGAAGUCGGAGUCGCUAGUAAUCGCAGAUCAGCAACGCUGCGGUGAAUACGUUCCCGGG